GGAUCAUUAAUGAGAUAGGGUCCUUCGGGGCCCGAACCUCCAACCCUUUGUGUAUCUUACCUUUGUUGCUUUGGCGGGCCUUUGGGCUCACGCCCACCGUUCCUCCGGGAGCGAGCGCCCGCCGGAGUCCAUUCAAAUCCUGAUUAUUAGUGACGUCUGAGUACAAUAUAAUAGUUAAAACUUUCAACAACGGAUCUCUUGGUUCUGGCAUCGAUGAAGAACGCAGCGAAAUGCGAUAAGUAAUGUGAAUUGCAGAAUUCAGUGAAUCAUCGAAUCUUUGAACGCACAUUGCGCCCUCUGGUAUUCCGGGGGGCAUGCCUGUUCGAGCGUCAUUACACCUCUCAAGCUCUGCUUGGUAUUGGGUCCUCGUCCCCCGGGACGUGCCCGAAAAUCAGUGGCGACGCAGCCUGACUUCAAGCGUAGUAAUUUAUCUCCCGCUUCAGAAGUCUUCAGGUUGUGUCCGCCAGACAACCUUCUCGCCCACGGCGAGUAUUUUCU
rnacentral:rRNA from 1 species